CCUGGCGGCCGUAGCGCGGUGGGUCCCACCUGACCCCAUGCCGAACUCAGAAGUGAAACGCCGUAGCGCCGAUGGUAGUGUGGGGUCUCCCCAUGCGAGAGUAGGGAACUGCCAGGC
rnacentral:rRNA from 1 species